GCCUCGGUGGUGUAGUGGUAGCACGCGCCCCCGAUAUGGAUGAAACGCGGGUUCGAUUCCCGUCUGAGGUU